UACGUAGGGUGCGAGCGUUAAUCGGAAUUACUGGGCGUAAAGCGUGCGCAGGCGGUGAUGUAAGACAGUUGUGAAAUCCCCGGGCUCAACCUGGGAACUGCAUCUGUGACUGCAUCGCUGGAGUGCGGCAGAGGGGGAUGGAAUUCCGCGUGUAGCAGUGAAAUGCGUAGAUAUGCGGAGGAACACCGAUGGCGAAGGCAAUCCCCUGGGCCUGCACUGACGCUCAUGCACGAAAGCGUGGGAGCAAACAGGAUAGAUACCCCGGU
rnacentral:rRNA from 1 species